UCGCAUUGACAUAUUUGAAAGGCCUUCUCAUUUUCUCACUAGGAGGAAAUAUUUGAAUUUUGCAUCUCAUAUGAUCUGAAGAGUGAUAUCACUCAAAUUACCCUAAGGAGUGAUUUUACUCUCUCAAAUAAGAGGUCGAGUUGUAGUACUUAGGGAUUGAAUCCACAGAGAGGUAGGGCACACAAUAGACUAUAGAAAUCAAGAUUAAUCUAGGCAAACAGUUUAUAUAGCAGUAAAUAAAUGAGAGCCAGGUGAACAAAGUAUUUGUUCGAUUGGUUGAUUGGGGUUGUAAACAAUUAGGAGAAAUAGCUAGACCUAUGGAUUUAUCAAUCAAGAGAUUCAAUACUACAAUCAAGGAUACUAAGGGCUUUAUAGAUUCAAUUCUAGAACUAGAUUUUAAUAAGUAGCAAUCCAGCUC
rnacentral:lncRNA from 1 species